GAUGAACGCUAGCGGCAGGCCUAAUACAUGCAAGUCGAGGGGCAGCGCGGUAGCAAUACUGGCGGCGACCGGCGCACGGGUGCGUAACACGUAUGCAACCUACCUUCAACUGGAGGAUAGCCCGGGGAAACUCGGAUUAAUACUCCAUAACACAGGGAUCCCGCAUGGGAAUAUUGUUAAAGCUACGGCGGUUGAAGAUGGGCAUGCGUUCGAUUAGCUAGUUGGUGUAGGUAACGGCUCACCAAGGCUACGAUCGAUAGGGGGUCUGAGAGGAUGAUCCCCACACUGGUACUGAGAUACGGACCAGACUCCUACGGGA
rnacentral:rRNA from 1 species